GAUGAACGCUGGCGGCGUGCCUAAUACAUGCAAGUCGAGCGAACAGACGAGGAGCUUGCUCCUCUGACGUUAGCGGCGGACGGGUGAGUAACACGUGGAUAACCUACCUAUAAGACUGGGAUAACUUCGGGAAACCGGAGCUAAUACCGGAUAAUAUAUUGAACCGCAUGGUUCAAUAGUGAAAGACGGUUUUGCUGUCACUUAUAGAUGGAUCCGCGCCGCAUUAGCUAGUUGGUAAGGUAACGGCUUACCAAGGCGACGAUGCGUAGCCGACCUGAGAGGGUGAUCGGCCACACUGGAACUGAGACACGGUCCAGAUUCCUACGGGAGGCAGCAGUAGGGAAUCUUCCGCAAAGGGCGAAAGCCUGACGGAGCAACGCCGCGUGAGUGAUGAAGGUCUUCGGAUCGUAAAACUCUGUUAUUAGGGAAGAACAAAUGUGUAAGUAACUAUGCACGUCUUGACGGUACCUAAUCAGAAAGCCACGGCUAACUACGUG
rnacentral:rRNA from 1 species